rnacentral:rRNA from 3 species
AGCCAUGCAUGUCUAAGUAUAAGCAAAUUAUACGUGAACUGCGAAUGGCUCAUUAAAUCAGUUAUCGUUUAUUUGAUAGUACCUUACUACUUGGAUAACCGUGGUAAUUCUAGAGCUAAUACAUGCUAAAAACCCCAACUUCGGGAGGGGUGUAUUUAUUAGAUAAAAAACCAAUGCCCUUCGGGGCUCUUUGGUGAUUCAUAGUAACUUAACGGAUCGCAUGGCCUUGCGCCGGCGACGGUUCAUUCAAAUUUCUGCCCUAUCAACUUUCGAUGGUAAGGUAUUGGCUUACCAUGGUUUCAACGGGUAACGGGGAAUUAGGGUUCGAUUCCGGAGAGGGAGCCUGAGAAACGGCUACCACAUCCAAGGAAGGCAGCAGGCGCGCAAAUUACCCAAUCCCGACACGGGGAGGUAGUGACAAUAAAUACUGAUACAGGGCUCUUUUGGGUCUUGUAAUCGGAAUGAGUACAAUUUAAACCCCUUAACGAGGAACAAUUGGAGGGCAAGUCUGGUGCCAGCAGCCGCGGUAAUUCCAGCUCCAAUAGCGUAUAUUAAAGUUGUUGCAGUUAAAAAGCUCGUAGUUGAACCUUGGGCCUGGCUGGCCGGUCCGCCUCACCGCGUGUACUGGUCCGGCCGGGCCUUUCCUUCUGGAGAACCCCAUGCCCUUCACUGGGUGUGCGGGGGAACCAGGACUUUUACUGUGAAAAAAUUAGAGUGUUCAAAGCAGGCCUUUGCUCGAAUACGUUAGCAUGGAAUAAUAGAAUAGGACGUGCGGUUCUAUUUUGUUGGUUUCUAGGACCGCCGUAAUGAUUAAUAGGGAUAGUCGGGGGCAUCAGUAUUCAAUUGUCAGAGGUGAAAUUCUUGGAUUUAUUGAAGACUAACUACUGCGAAAGCAUUUGCCAAGGAUGUUUUCAUUAAUCAGUGAACGAAAGUUAGGGGAUCGAAGACGAUCAGAUACCGUCGUAGUCUUAACCGUAAACUAUGCCGACUAGGGAUCGGGCGAUGUUUCUAUCUUGACUCGCUCGGCACCUUACGAGAAAUCAAAGUUUU